UUUUAUCUUACACAUUCAAUUUUGUAAUACAAUUUAACUAUCUAUUUCAUAAAAAACUCGAUUUUAAUUCUACACACUUCAUCUUACUUGAUAAUGAUUUCAUGUCAAAAUAAUAUUUAUAUGAGAUCAAAUCUAU
rnacentral:sRNA from 1 species